CAGUCGCCGCGGUAAUACGUAGGGUGCGAGCGUUAAUCGGAAUUACUGGGCGUAAAGCGUGCGCAGGCGGUUAUGUAAGACAGUUGUGAAAUCCCCGGGCUCAACCUGGGAACUGCAUCUGUGACUGCAUAGCUAGAGUACGGUAGAGGGGGAUGGAAUUCCGCGUGUAGCAGUGAAAUGCGUAGAUAUGCGGAGGAACACCGAUGGCGAAGGCAAUCCCCUGGACCUGUACUGACGCUCAUGCACGAAAGCGUGGGGAGCAAACAGGAUUAGAUACCCCCGUAGUCCCUGUCUCUUAUAC
rnacentral:rRNA from 1 species